rnacentral:piRNA from 1 species
UAUCAGCAACCAGGAAUUCCCAGAAG